rnacentral:lncRNA from 1 species
CUGGUGAAGAUUAAGAAAAUAUAUGCCCUGCUAUAUUUAGUGAUAAAUAAGAUACCAAAUGUGACUAAAUAGUUCUGCUUAAGCGUAUGUACCUGCACUCUUUUCAUAUGGUAUUGUCAAAACUUCGGCUGAGAAUAUAUUAAUAGUUGUUUCAAAAUGUUUCCUGUUCAGUCAAGACCUUUGGGACAUUACCAAACGCUAUUGGACAAGAAGAUUGAUGGUUUUCAGCAAGUAAGAUAAUAGUUCAAGUAUCGAAGGGACGUACGACUUUUGGUGCAUUGUUAGGAAAAUUGUAUUGAGUGUAUUUCACGUUUCUGCUCUGUCUCCAUUUUGCUAUGUCCUUGAAGUUCUUAUGUCACUUGCUAUUUUGAGUGCCCACUAUCAUCUGAACAUGAAGUAACAUGAGAAGUCAAAGUUUUGUGCAUGCCUUUUCUUUAAUAUGUUCAGAUUUAUAGCUCAUGAGAGUAAUGCUUAAGAUUGAUAUUUUAGAUACCAUUUUUGUAUUUAAAGUGCAGGCCGAAUUUCUUACUCCUAUAACUAAACCAAUAUAUGCUAGCUACUUUGUGUCAGGCGUACUUUUUGGUUUCGUUCAUGGUGCAGGUUAGCUGGUUAUUUACAAGUGUGUGGAGCAUCCAAAAUUCAAGUAAGAACACCAUGCUUCCUUGGUGUGUCCAUAAAUAUAUCUCCAUGCUGGAGCUGUCAGAUGAGUACGGGUCAAAUGAAGAAUGACAAAAACGCCCAUGACUAUUUCAAACUGUUUUAUUUUUCCUACAUUCAGCCAACCGGAGUAUCCUGCUCUCCCUUCUAUAGGUUCUACAGUACAUCUAAAUCCUUAUUCUGUCGAAUCAGGUACUUGCAUUCUAUUGUUCAAGAUGUGUAAUUUUUCUGUUGAUUAACAAAAUCAUUGACUUAUGAAAGAACUCUUAUUGACGAAAGUGUACAUGCAAUGAGUUAUGCAGUUCACAUACAACUUUUACCAAAAGAUGGGUUUCCUUUACUCGGUUCAUUUA